rnacentral:rRNA from 1 species
CCUACGGGAGGCAGCAGUGAGGAAUAUUGGUCAAUGGACGCAAGUCUGAACCAGCCAUGCCGCGUGCAGGAAGACUGCUCUAUGAGUUGUAAACUUCUUUUGUACGAGGGUAAAUCCCGACACGUGUGCCGGUUUGCAUGUACUUUAUGAAUAAGGAUCGGCUAACUCCGUGCCAGCAGCAGCGGUACUACGGAGGAUCCAAGCGUUAUCCGGAUUUAUUGGGUUUAAAGGGAGCGUAGGGGGUUCGUUAAGUCAGUGGGGAAAGUCUGGGGCUCAACUCCAGCACUGCACUUGAUACUGUCGGGCUUGAGUUUAGUUGCGGUAGGCGGAAUGUAUGGUGUAGCGGUGAAAUGCAUAGAGAUCAUGCAGAACCCCGAUUGCGAAGGCAGCUUACCAAACUACGACUGACGUUGAGGCUCGAAAGCGUGGGGAGCAAACAGGAUUAGAUACCCGAGUAGUC